GAUGAACGCUGACAGAAUGCUUAACACAUGCAAGUCGAUUCAAGUUACCUUCGGGUAACGAGGAUGGCGGACGGGUGAGUAACGCGUAAGGAACUUGCCUCUUGGUCUGGGACAACUGUUGGAAACGACAGCUAAUACCGGAUAUUAUGAGAUUCUCGCAUGGGAAACUUAUGAAAGCUAUAUGCGCCAAGAGAGAGCCUUGCGUUCCAUUAGCUAGUUGGUGGGGUAACGGCCCACCAAGGCGACGAUGGAUAGCCGGCCUGAGAGGGUGAACGGCCACAAGGGGACUGAGACACGGCCCUUACUCCUACGGGAGGCAGCAGUGGGGAAUAUUGGACAAUGGGCCACAAGCCUGAUCCAGCAAUUCUGUGUGCACGAUGAAGGUCUUCGGAUUGUAAAGUGCUUUCAGUUGGGAAGAAGUAAGUGACGGUACCAACAGAAGAAGCGACGGCUAAAUACGUGCCAGCAGCCGCCGCCG
rnacentral:rRNA from 1 species